rnacentral:rRNA from 1 species
AGUGAACGCUGGCGGUAGGCCUAACACAUGCAAGUCGAACGGCAGCACAGUGAGAGCUUGCUCUUACGGGUGGCGAGUGGCGGACGGGUGAGGAAUACAUCGGAAUCUACUUUUUCGUGGGGGAUAACGUAGGGAAACUUACGCUAAUACCGCAUACGACCUACGGGUGAAAGCAGGGGAUCUUCGGACCUUGCGCGAUUGAAUGAGCCGAUGUCGGAUUAGCUAGUUGGCGGGGUAAGGGCCCACCAAGGCGACGAUCCGUAGCUGGUCUGAGAGGAUGAUCAGCCACACUGGAACUGAGACACGGUCCAGACUCCUACGGGAGGCAGCAGUGGGGAAUAUUGGACAAAGGGCGCAAGCCUGAUCCAGCCAUACCGCGUGGGUGAAGAAGGCCUUCGGGUUGUAAAGCCCUUUUGUUGGGAAAGAAAAGCAGCAGGUUAAUACCCCGCUGUUCUGACGGUACCCAAAGAAUAAGCACCGGCUAACUUCGUG